ensembl:lncRNA
AUGCCUUUCCCUGCUCCUUUUCCCACCUUUUCCUGCUCCUUUUCCCGCCUUUUCCCGCCUUUUCCUGCCUUUUCUGGCCUUUUCCUGCUCCUUUUCCUGCAUUUUCCUGCCUUUUCCUGCUCCUUUUCCCGCCUUUUCCUGCUCCUUUUCCCGCCUUUUCCUGCUCCUUUCCCCGCCUUUUCCUGCCUUUUCCUGCUCCUUUUCCCGCCUUUUCCUGCUCCUUUUCCCGCCUUUUCCUUCCUGCUCCUUUUCCCGCCUUUUCCUGCCUUUUCCUGCUCCUUUUCCUGCCUUUUCCUGCCUUUUCCUGCUCCUUUUCCUGCCUUUUCCUGCUCCUUUUCCUGCCUUUUCCUGCCUUUUCCUGCUCCUUUUCCCGCCUCUUCCCACCUUUUCCUUCCUGCUCCUUUUCCUGCCUUUUCCCACCUUUUCCUGCUCCUUUUCCUAAUCCUUUUCCUGCCUUUUCCCACCUUUUCCCGCCUUUUCCUUCCUGCUCCUUUUCCCACCUCUUCCUGCCUUUUCCUGCUCCUUUUCCCGCCUUUUCCCUCCUUUUCCCGCUCCUUUUCCCUCCUUUUCCUGCCUUUUCCUGCUUUUUCCUGCUCCUUUUCCUGCCUUUUCCUGCUCCUUUUCCCGCCUUUUCCCUCCUUUUCCUGCUCCUUUUCCCGUCUCUUCCUGCCUUUUCCUUCCUGCUCCUUUUCCUGCUCCUUUUCCUGCUCCUUUUCCGGCCUUUUCCUGCCUUUUCCUGCCUUUUCCUGCUCCUUUUCCCGCCUUUUCCUGCCUUUUCCUGCCUUUUCCCACCUUUUCCCACCUUUUCCCACCUCUUCCCGCCUUUUCCUGCUCCUCUUCCUGCCUUUUCCCACCUUUUCCUGCUCCUUUUCCUGCUCCUUUUCCCGCCUUUUCCUGCCUUUUCCUGAUCCUUUUCCUGCUCCUUUUCCUGCUCCUUUUCCCACCUUUUCCUGCCUUUUCCUGCUCCUUUUCGUGCUCCUCUUCCCGCCUUUUCCCACCUUUUCCUGCCUUUUCCUGCUCCUUUUCCCACCUCUUCCCGCCUUUUCCUUCCUGCUCCUUUUCCCGCCUUUUCCGGCCAUUUCCUGCUCCUUUUCCCGCCUUUUCCUGCUGCUUUUCCCGCCUUUUCCUGCUCCUUUUCCUGCUCCUUUUCCUGCUCCUUUUCCCGCCUUUUCCCAACUUUUCCCGCCUUUUCCUGCUCCUUUUCCCGCCUUUUCCUGCUCCUUUUCCUGCUCCUUUUCCUGCUCCUUUUCCCGCCUUUUCCCAACUUUUCCCGCCUUUUCCUGCUCCUUUUCCUGCCUUUUCCUGCUCCUUUUCCUGCCUUUCCCUGCUCCUUUUCCCGCCUUUCCCUGCUCCUUUUCCCGCCUUUUCCUGCUCCUUUUCCCGCCUUUUCCUGCUCCUUAUCCCGCUUUUCCCGGCUCCUUUUCCCGCUUUCCCGGCUCCUUUUCCCGCCUUUUCCUGCUCCUUUUCCCGCUUUUCCCGGGCCCUCAUCCCGCCUUUCCCUGCUCCUUUUCCCGCCUUUUCCUGCUCCUUUUCCCGCCUUUUCCUGCUCCUUUUCCCGCCUUUUCCUGCUCCUUAUUCCACCUUUUCCUGCUCCUUAUCCCACCUUUUCCUGCCUUUUCCCUCCUUUUCCUGCUCCUUUUCCCGCCUUUUCCUGCUCCUUAUCCCACCUUUCCCUGGUCAUUUUCCCACCUUUUCCUGCUCCUUUCCCUGGUCCUUAUCCCACCUUUUCUCAUCCUUAUCCCACCUUUUCCUCAUCAUUUUCCCACCUUUCCCUGGUCAUUUUCCCACCUUUCCCUCCUCCUUAUCCCACCUUUUCCUGCUCCUUUUCCUCAUCAUUUUCCCGCCUUUUCCUGCUCCUUCUCCCGCCUUUUCCUCUUUUCCCGCCUCUUCCCGCCUUUUCCUUCCUGCUCCUUUUCCCACCUUUUCCUGCUCCUUUUCCCACCUUUUCCUGCUCCUUUUCCCACCUUUCCCGGCUCCUUUUCCCGCUUUUCCGGAGCCCUGAUCCCGCUUUUCCGGCCCCUCAUCCCGCUUUUCCCGCAGCCGAGCCGCGGCUGGACGCCGGCAGCUGCCCCCCGCAGCAGAACUGGACGGAGGGGCAGGAGGGGAUCCUGCGCUGCCGGGCCCGGGGCGCACCUGAGCCGCAGGUGA